rnacentral:ribozyme from 1 species
GGCCGGCAAAGUCCGACCCCCACCUCCCCGCGGUGCCGGCUGGGUGCGACUAGGUCUCACUAGUCUUUCAGCACUAGUAGAAGCAGCUAACGGGGGCGG